GAAGGUCUCAGAGAUGAGACUGUGCCUUCGGGAACCGUGAGACAGGUGCUGCAUGGCUGUCGUCAGCUCGUGUUGUGAAAUGUUGGGUUAAGUCCCGCAACGAGCGCAACCCUUAUCCUUUGUUGCCAGCGGUUAGGCCGGGAACUCAAAGGAGACUGCCAGUGAUAAACUGGAGGAAGGUGGGGAUGACGUCAAGUCAUCAUGGCCCUUACGACCAGGGCUACACACGUGCUACAAUGGCAUAUACAAAGAGAAGCGACCUCGCGAGAGCAAGCGGACCUCAUAAAGUAUGUCGUAGUCCGGAUUGGAGUCUGCAACUCGACUCCAUGAAGUCGGAAUCGCUAGUAAUCGUGGAUCAGAAUGCCACGGUGAAUACGUUCCCGGGCCUUGUACACACCGCCCGUCACACCAUGGGAGUGGGUUGCAAAAGAAGUAGGUAGCUUAACCUUCGGGAGGGCGCUUACCACUUUGUGAUUCAUGACUGGGGUGAAGUCGUAACAAGGUAACCGUAGGGGAACCUGCGGUUGGAUCACCUCCUU
rnacentral:rRNA from 1 species